GAUGAACGCUGGCGGCGUGCCUAAUACAUGCAAGUCGAGCGAACGGACGAGAAGCUUGCUUCUCUGAUGUUAGCGGCGGACGGGUAAGUAACACGUGGAUAACCUACCUAUAAGACUGGGAUAACUUCGGGAAACCGGAGCUAAUACCGGAUAAUAUUUUGAACCGCAUGGUUCAAAAGUGAAAGACGGUCUUGCUGUCACUUAUAGAUGAAUCCGCGCUGCAUUAGCUAGUUGGUAAGGUAACGGCUUACCAAGGCAACGAUGCAUAGCCGACCUGAGAGGGUGAUCGGCCACACUGGAACUGAGACACGGUCCAGACUCCUACGGGAGGCAGCAGUAGGGAAUCUUCCGCAAUGGGCGAAAGCCUGACGGAGCAACGCCGCGUGAGUGAUGAAGGUCUUCGGAUCGUAAAACUCUGUUAUUAGGGAAGAACAUAUGUGUAAGUAACUGUGCACAUCUUGACGGUACCUAAUCAGAAAGCCACGGCUAACUACGUG
rnacentral:rRNA from 1 species